UUCUUCUAUUUAUGUCUAACUAAAGUUGAUGAUGCAAUGAAAAACGAUUAUCCUAAUUUAGUAUACAAAUUAUAGAACAAUCGUAACAUUUGCAACUAAACGGUUGACUAAAUAUAUAGUGACGGUAGUUCUCACCACAAUUGGUUCUUUCUUUUGAAUACGCCCCCUUUAAAGCUCCCUGACAUUCUAAAACACGAGUUCAUAGCUUUUCCUAACAGUUAGCUGGAUUCACAAUAUAAGAGAGCAACUGAAAAAUUCUUGUAAUGUGUUUAUAUACAUAUGCACCACGAUAAUAUCGAGCUUUAUUAAUCUGUUUCAAUGAUCCAUAAGUCAGAGAACCACUGUGAUAAAAGAUAACUAAAAUGAUGUGACACAAUCAAAACCAUCUCCAUGUCCGUGCUAUGUAUUUCCGGAAGAUUAUUUGCUCGCAACGCUUUCUGGCACGAUUUCCUGUAUUGCCAUCAUUCUCUAAUACCUACAUUUCGCGACGGUCUGAUUAGGCUCAUUGGAACCCAGAUUAUUCAAAAGUAGUCCUAUUGUUGGCGUCUACUAUAAUAUUAUUUCAAUUUUACUGAAUAUAAAUUCAAAAGGUUAAUUUCUAAUAUUACAUAAUGUUUGAAAUUGAUAAAAUUUUAAUUUUAAAUCUAUAACAUCUAAUUUUUAAUAGUUAACAUGUGCAUUUUACGUUACUACUAACACGUUUAUACAAUUGCAUUCGAAAUGUAUUAAAUCGUGUCUGGAUAUUUUCUGAGACCUUACUGGUGCGCAGCAUCGGGUUAAGUGCUAAGGUUGCCGGCUUGUGCACGUGUGUUAGCCGUUCAUAUAUCUUCUAUUGCACUUUUUGUUUUGCAUCGUUACCCUCUUAACCUAUUCUCCACUCUCAAUCGAACGGAAUCGAGUUGCAUCGAUACAUAGAGCGUACGAAACGCGCGAGAACGGAAAGCAAAGUCGAUGCCACGGAGGUGCACGAAGGAGGCCGAGCGGGUUCGGAAGCAGCCGAGGCCAUCUGUUACGCUCGGUUCCCACGCUUCCGCCGUCGCCUUUCCCCGCCUUUGGACCAGUCCUCAUCGGUCCUUUUCUUGCCCCCUCUUUCGCCGACACUGCCGGCUCUCGCCGUCGCUUUAUUUUAUAUAGCCGGAGAACGCUUGGACGUCUUUAACCGCGAGUCCGCGUUUUCUGUUACGAACUUACGAGGCGAAACUUUUGUCCAUUAUCGCGAGAUUUCUGCUCGUCGUAGUUUCCGUUUGGCUCAGUCUCGAGGCGUUAAGUAAAAGUUGUACGACUAGUCUUGUAAGGAUAGGACCGGCCAAAAUCUUUAUCUCUUUCGGUCCCGUUCUGUGUACGUCACAACGAAAACAAAUGUUCCAAGAUGUACCUUACGUAUUUUACUUUCUUAUGUUCGUUUGAAAUAAAUCGAAUAUUUUACA
rnacentral:lncRNA from 1 species